GAUGAACGCUGGCGGCGUGCCUAAUACAUGCAAGUCGAGCGAACAGACGAGGAGCUUGCUCCUCUGACGUUAGCGGCGGACGGGUGAGUAACACGUGGAUAACCUACCUAUAAGACUGGGAUAACUUCGGGAAACCGGAGCUAAUACCGGAUAAUAUAUUGAACCGCAUGGUUCAAUAGUGAAAGACGGUUUUGCUGUCACUUAUAGAUGGAUCCGCGCCGCAUUAGCUAGUUGGUAAGGUAACGGCUUACCAAGGCAACGAUGCGUAGCCGACCUGAGAGGGUGAUCGGCCACACUGGAACUGAGACACGGUCCAGACUCCUACGGGAGGCAGCAGUAGGGAAUCUUCCGCAAUGGGCGCAAGCCUGACGGAGCAACGCCGCGUGAAUGAUGAAGGUCUUCGGAUCGUAAAACUCUGUUAUUAGGGAAGAACAAAUGUGUAAGUAACUAUGCACGUCUUGACGGUACCUAAUCAGAAAGCCACGGCUAACUACGUG
rnacentral:rRNA from 1 species